rnacentral:rRNA from 1 species
CCCUUAGAUGUUCUGGGCCGCACGCGUGCUACACUGAGUGGAUCAGCGGGUCAGGUUGCGCGAAAGCGUUUCCUAAUCUUUAAAUCCGCUCGUGAUGGGGAUCGACGGUUGCAAUUUUCUGUCAUGAACGAGGAAUACCUUGUAAGCGCGGGUCAUCAUCCCGCGCUGAAUACGUCCCUGCCCUUUGUACACACCGCCCGUCGCUCCUACCGAUUGAGUGGUCCGGUGAGGCUUUGGGAUCUGAGCGGAAAGAGCGUUUCGCUGUUUCUACUCGGAAAACUCAGUCGAACCUUAUCAUUUAGAGGAAGGAGAAGUCGUAACA